ensembl:snRNA U6 U6 spliceosomal RNA
GUGCUCAAUUCGGUAACACAUAUACCAAAAUUAGAACAAUUCAGAGAAGACUAGUAUGGUCCUUGUGCAAGGAUGACUUAAAUUUGCAAAGUAUUUCAUAUUUUU